UACGGAGGGUGCGAGCGUUGUCCGGAAUCACUGGGCGUAAAGGGCGCGUAGGCGGGUCUUUAGGUCAGGGGUGAAAUCCUGGAGCUCAACUCCAGAACUGCCUUUGAUACUGAAGAUCUUGAGUUCGGGAGAGGUGAGUGGAACUGCGAGUGUAGAGGUGAAAUUCGUAGAUAUUCGCAAGAACACCAGUGGCGAAGGCGGCGAUCUGGGUCGAUACUGACGCUGAGGUGCGAAAGCGUGGGGAGCAAACAGG
rnacentral:rRNA from 1 species